UUGGCGUUGGCCAGGGCGUAGCCGGCGAUCUGAUCGCCGAGCAGGAUGCCGGCGUCGCUGUGAUAGUUCGGGAUCAUCACGUCGAU
rnacentral:tRNA from 2 species